AUUGAACGCUGGCGGCAUGCUUUUCACAUGCAAGUCGAACGGUAACAGGCCGCAAGGUGCUGACGAGUGGCGAACGGGUGAGUAAUGCAUCGGAACGUGCCCAGUCGUGGGGGAUAACUACUCGAAAGAGUAGCUAAUACCGCAUACGAUCUAUGGAUGAAAGCGGGGGACCGUAAGGCCUCGCGCGAUUGGAGCGGCCGAUGUCAGAUUAGGUAGUUGGUGGGGUAAAGGCUCACCAAGCCAACGAUCUGUAGCUGGUCUGAGAGGACGACCAGCCACACUGGGACUGAGACACGGCCCAGACUCCUACGGGAGGCAGCAGUGGGGAAUUUUGGACAAUGGGCGCAAGCCUGAUCCAGCAAUGCCGCGUGCAGGAAGAAGGCCUUCGGGUUGUAAACUGCUUUUGUACGGAACGAAACGGCUCUGGUUAAUACCCGGGGCUAAUGACGGUACCGUAAGAAUAAGCACCGGCUAACUACGUG
rnacentral:rRNA from 1 species